rnacentral:rRNA from 1 species
GACGAACGCUGGCGGCGUGCUUAACACAUGCAAGUCGAACGGAAAGGCCCUGCUUUUGUGGGGUGCUCGAGUGGCGAACGGGUGAGUAACACGUGAGUAACCUGCCCUUGACUUUGGGAUAACUUCAGGAAACUGGGGCUAAUACCGGAUAGGAGCUCCUGCUGCAUGGUGGGGGUUGGAAAGUUUCGGCGGUUGGGGCUGGACUCGCGGCUUAUCAGCUUGUUGGUGGGGUAGCGGCUUACCAAGGCUUUGACGGGUAGCCGGCCUGAGAGGGUGACCGGCCACAUUGGGACUGCGAUACGGCCCAGACUCCUACGGGAGGCAGCAGUGGGGAAUAUUGCACAAUGGGCGGAAGCCUGAUGCAGCAACGCCGCGUGCGGGAUGACGGCCUUCGGGUUGUAAACCGCUUUCGCCUGUGACGAAGCGUGAGUGACGGUAAUGGGUAAAGAAGCACCGGCUAACUACGUG